rnacentral:rRNA from 1 species
AUUGAACGCUGGCGGCAUGCUUUACACAUGCAAGUCGAACGGUAACAGGUUAAGCUGACGAGUGGCGAACGGGUGAGUAAUGCAUCGGAACGUGCCCGAUCGUGGGGGAUAACGCAGCGAAAGCUGCGCUAAUACCGCAUACGAUCUGAGGAUGAAAGCUGGGGAUCGCAAGACCUCGCGCGAUUGGAGCGGCCGAUAUCAGAUUAGGUAGUUGGUGGGGUAAAGGCUCACCAAGCCGACGAUCUGUAGCUGGUCUGAGAGGACGACCAGCCACACUGGGACUGAGACACGGCCCAGAGUCCUACGGGAGGCAGCAGUGGGGAAUUUUGGACAAUGGGCGCAAGCCUGAUCCAGCCAUGCCGCGUGAAGGAUGAAGGCCUUCGGGUUGUAAACUGCUUUUGUACGGAACGAAAAGGUUUGGCCUAAUACGCUGAACUCAUGACGGUACCGUAAGAAUAAGCACCGGCUAACUACGUGCCAGCAGCCGCCGUAACAC